rnacentral:rRNA from 1 species
AUUGAACGCUGGCGGCAUGCUUUACACAUGCAAGUCGAACGGCAGCGCGGGCUAAGGCCUGGAGGCGAGUGGCGAACGGGAGAGUAAUGCAUGGGAACGCGCCCACUAGGGGGGGAUAGACCGGCGAAAGCAGGAUUAAUACCACAUACGAUAUGAGGGUGAACGCGGGGGACCGAAAGGCCGCGCGAUUUUGGAGCGGGCGAUGUCGGAUUAGCUAGUUGGUGGGGUAAAGGCUUACCAAGGCGACGAUCCGUAGCUGGUCUGAGAGGACGACCAGCCACACUGGGACUGAGACACGGCCCAGACUCCUACGGGAGGCAGCAGUGGGGAAUUUUGGACAAUGGGGGCAACCCUGAUCCAGCCAUGCCGCGUGCGGGAAGAAGGCCUUCGGGUUGUAAACCGCUUUUGUUCGGGAAGAAAUCCUCUGGGCUAAUACCCCGGGGGGAUGACGGUACCGGAAGAAUAAGCACCGGCUAACUACGUG